UAUAUAGAAAGUUAAGUUGCAAAUUUUCGAAGCGGUUUCGUAGAACUAUAUAGUUCUACGAAUUUUUCUUGUCAGUUUAAAAAUUUAUUUGUAUUAACAUAAAUAUAUCUUUAUUGUACAAUCAGUUACGGCUUAAUUGUAUGCCGACGUCGAAAGCAAAUUUCCUGUUGCUGGUACCAUCGUGUCCGUUCGAAGGGACGACUCCGUGACGAAAGCGUGCUGCAGCAAAUCGACGCUGCCUAAAUAUUGAGUCACGGGCUAUUUUUGUAGCCGCGCCUCGGCCAUAAGCCCAUGACAUCGAGCGGCAGUGGUGCAUUUCAAAUGUGGUCUUACACGAACGAGAUUCUUCCCUACAUCGCUGACGAUACCUACGCCCCUUCGCACAUCUGCUAACCGACACUAUGCAAGGACAAGCUGAAAUAGAGACAGCGAAUGAAGAGCGGAAAUCUCUCGGUGAAUCCAUGACAAACGGAUGCGUUCCGCACCAGCCUAAAAACAGAUCGCGAAAAAUCUCCGGAAGUAGCAUAAACAAAUUAAUUCGGGUAUAAUUCGGAAUAAUGUAAGCUUGAAUACAGUCCUAAAUACACUACUUUCAUUUUCUUCAUCCUUUAGUCCACCCUUCGUAUCACGAGCUAUCAAAAUUGAAGCCCUUUAAUCUAUCAUUUGCCCUUUAAUCUAACAUUUCAAACGCAAUUUCAAAGAAUUUUCACCGACGUGACUAGUAUCUCUCUUACUCGGAUUAACAUUUUCUCUAUUUUUUUGUUAAAAUUUGCAUUAUUUUUUCUUGUAAAAAGAACAAAAGUCUUUAUUAAUGUUAAUGUCUGUUAAUGUAUGUAUAAGAAAAAGUACCAUUUUUCAGCAAAUUAAUCGCUGAUCAUAAAAUGAUCUAUCUCGUCGUGAUCUCCGAUGGCUUAAAUGAGCAACUCGCUCAGGAAAUUUCAUCUGCUGUAUUUUGUGUCAGCGCCCACUUGAGAUUACGCAUCUACUAUUUUAGGUAACGCAGUAUCAUCAUCGCGAACACGCCACGAAGAUCGGUGACAAGCAUUCCAAGAAGUUUCAGUUAUCUGGUGAGAGAAAGAAUGAAAUUUUUAACCGUGAUGGCUUUUACAUGCGCUAAUGAAAUAAGCAGAAACAAAAUGGCAAAAAA